rnacentral:rRNA from 6 species
GUGACUGCGUACCUUUUGUAUAAUGGGUCAGCGACUUAUAUUCUGUAGCAAGGUUAACCGAAUAGGGGAGCCGGAGGGAAACCGAGUCUUAAUUGGGCGUUAAGUUGCAGGGUAUAGACCCGAAACCCGGUGAUCUAGCCAUGGGCAGGUUGAAGGUUGGGUAACACUAACUGGAGGACCGAACCGACUAAUGUUGAAAAAUUAGCGGAUGACCUGUGGCUGGGGGUGAAAGGCCAAUCAAACCGGGAGAUAGCUGGUUCUCCCCGAAAGCUAUUUAGGUAGCGCCUCGUGAAUUCAUCUCCGGGGGUAGAGCACUGUUUCGGCUAGGGGGCCAUCCCGGCUUACCAACCCGAUGCAAACUGCGAAUACCGGAGAAUGUUAUCACGGGAGACACACGGCGGGUGCUAACGUCCGUCGUGAAGAGGGAAACAACCCAGACCGCCAGCUAAGGUCCCAAAGUCAUGGUUAAGUGGGAAACGAUGUGGGAAGGCCCAGACAGCCAGGAUGUUGGCUUAGAAGCAGCCAUCAUUUAAAGAAAGCGUAAUAGCUCACUGGUCGAGUCGGCCUGCGCGGAAGAUGUAACGGGGCUAAACCAUGCACCGAAGCUGCGGCAGCGACACUGUGUGUUGUUGGGUAGGGGAGCGUUCUGUAAGCCUGCGAAGGUGGCCUGUGAGGGUUGCUGGAGGUAUCAGAAGUGCGAAUGCUGACAUAAGUAACGAUAAAGCGGGUGAAAAGCCCGCUCGCCGGAAGACCAAGGGUUCCUGUCCAACGUUAAUCGGGGCAGGGUGAGUCGACCCCUAAGGCGAGGCCGAAAGGCGUAGUCGAUGGGAAACGGGUUAAUAUUCCCGUACUUGGUGUUACUGCGAAGGGGGGACGGAGAAGGCUAUGUUGGCCGGGCGACGGUUGUCCCGGUUUAAGCGUGUAGGUGUGUGUUCCAGGUAAAUCCGGUUCACUUUAACACUGAGGCGUGACGACGAGGCACUACGGUGCUGAAGCAACAAAUGCCCUGCUUCCAGGAAAAGCCUCUAAGCAUCAGGUAACAUCAAAUCGUACCCCAAACCGACACAGGUGGUCAGGUAGAGAAUACCAAGGCGCUUGAGAGAACUCGGGUGAAGGAACUAGGCAAAAUGGUGCCGUAACUUCGGGAGAAGGCACGCUGACACGUAGGUGAAGUGAUUUACUCAUGGAGCUGAAGUCAGUCGAAGAUACCAGCUGGCUGCAACUGUUUAUUAAAAACACAGCACUGUGCAAACACGAAAGUGGACGUAUACGGUGUGACGCCUGCCCGGUGCCGGAAGGUUAAUUGAUGGGGUCAGCGCAAGCGAAGCUCCUGAUCGAAGCCCCGGUAAACGGCGGCCGUAACUAUAACGGUCCUAAGGUAGCGAAAUUCCUUGUCGGGUAAGUUCCGACCUGCACGAAUGGCGUAAUGAUGGCCAGGCUGUCUCCACCCGAGACUCAGUGAAAUUGAACUCGCUGUGAAGAUGCAGUGUACCCGCGGCAAGACGGAAAGACCCCGUGAACCUUUACUAUAGCUUGACACUGAACAUUGAGCCUUGAUGUGUAGGAUAGGUGGGAGGCUUUGAAGUGUGGACGCCAGUCUGCAUGGAGCCGACCUUGAAAUACCACCCUUUAAUGUUUGAUGUUCUAACGUGGACCCGUUACCCGGGUUGCGGACAGUGUCUGGUGGGUAGUUUGACUGGGGCGGUCUCCUCCUAAAGAGUAACGGAGGAGCACGAAGGUUGGCUAAUCCUGGUCGGACAUCAGGAGGUUAGUGCAAUGGCAUAAGCCAGCUUGACUGCGAGCGUGACGGCGCGAGCAGGUGCGAAAGCAGGUCAUAGUGAUCCGGUGGUUCUGAAUGGAAGGGCCAUCGCUCAACGGAUAAAAGGUACUCCGGGGAUAACAGGCUGAUACCGCCCAAGAGUUCAUAUCGACGGCGGUGUUUGGCACCUCGAUGUCGGCUCAUCACAUCCUGGGGCUGAAGUAGGUCCCAAGGGUAUGGCUGUUCGCCAUUUAAAGUGGUACGCGAGCUGGGUUUAGAACGUCGUGAGACAGUUCGGUCCCUAUCUGCCGUGGGCGCUGGAGAACUGAGGGGGGCUGCUCCUAGUACGAGAGGACCGGAGUGGACGCAUCACUGGUGUUCGGGUUGUCAUGCCAAUGGCACUGCCCGGUAGCUAAAUGCGGAAGAGAUAAGUGCUGAAAGCAUCUAAGCACGAAACUUGCCCCGAGAUGAGUUCUCCCUGAGACUUAGAGUCUCCUGAAGGAACGUUGAAGACGACGACGUUGAUAGGCCGGGUGUGUAAGCGCAGCGAUGCGUUGAGCUAACCGGUACUAAUGAACCGUGAGGCUUAACCUU